UUUGUAAACUUUGAUUUUUAAGGCUAUGCGUGAAUAUGUGUUUGUUCUAGGUUCUUGUAUGUCAAAAUAAUUUGUAGUACAGUUAAUAUUUAAAUGCCUCUUGGCAGUUGGUUUAAACAGCAUUCCAGCCACUGGGAGGGUUAACAAAUGAAUUCACCUGCUAGGAAACUACUAAAUGAAUGACUCCUUUCUUGCUCUUAGUAAUUAGAUUCUCACAUUCAACUCCAUAUAGAAGUAACUUCUCUUCCAUUUCUUGUGAUAUUUAAACCUUUUUUUUUCCUGCUCAGUGACCAAAGCACCCCAUUAUGCAAACACUCUAUGGCUCUCUGAUUCUUGCCCAUGUUCAAAAGGCCCUGGAAAACACCCCAAUUCAAGGUAUCAGUAGUAUUUUAUUUGAAGGAUAUCCUAAGUCAACUGGCUUGCAGACAAUAUACUGUCACAUGAAGGACACUUGGUGAUCUAUCUCUAAUAUUUCUUCACACUAGACCUUGCCAAGGCUCACGUGUCCCAGUUCCAGAAAACAGUAUUACAUUGUCAGCUGAUUCAGAAGCCCCAGAUCAGUGGUUCCCAUCCUUUGCUGCAUAUUGAAAUCAUCCGGGAAGCUUUCAAAAAAUAGUGAUGCUCAGGUCUCAUGGGACUCUGACUUAAUUGUCCUGGAGUGCCACCCAGACACUGAGAUUUUUUUUAAAGCUUUUUGAGUAACUCUAAUGUUCAGCCAAGUUUGGAAACCACUGCCCAGAGCCCCAGGCACAGGUGUAGCCACUCUCCCAUUCCCAGCAGAAUAAAAAGGGAGAGACAAAUGCCAGGUAAAGCCGUUGGUACUACCUUGGUGAUCAGGGAGCAGUCCCGGUGAUGUCUUGGAAUCCAGCGCCUUCCAUCAGCCUCCACCCACGGUGGCUGUCCUCAGAACCGUACCUGACAGAGAAAAGGGAGAACCAGGCCCUCGCUGCAGCUUCGCCCAAGAAGGAGGGACAAGAAUCCUGACCUCCUCUCAGAGGUUUUCUGAGGACAUCCAAGACCAGUACCCACCAAGCUAUGGAGCGACAAGAAAGCCUCCUCUCUUCAGCUUGGAAUGUUGAGGCCCGAACUUGCUCUGGGGCUAGGAAGCUCUGGUCCUAGGCAGGAUAAUUUAUUGAGGAACGGAUGGCGCUCUCUGACUAAGCACACAAGAGUCGUCUGUGUGAUUGAUUUGAUUAUAUGAGUUCAUCUGCAAAGAAAACCCUUGCAGUUCUGAUGAACACAGCUCCCUCUAGCUCCACAGCUUUCACAGGACCAGUCCUGGGGUACACGUCUCAGGAGAACUGAGGCAGAAGAACUCUGAGUCAGCAGCCAGAUUUGCUUCAGGGGCUAAACCAAAACCUGCUCAUUAGACACCUUGGAAAUUACUUCACUCGGUGUCACUGCUACUAAAGUUAGUUGUGGCAGGUGUUAGAAGAACAAAUACAACACAGCAGAAGGACGAAGGUGUUAAAACUGUGGUUUGCUAUAGGAAAACAGAAAAGCAAACAAAAAUCUGUUACGCCAAUAUUCAUUUCUUAAGGUUUCUUAGAGCAAUUAGUAAGACAGUUUGGAUGGGUUUCCUUACAGGUUGAAAGCACAAUUAUCUCUGAUUGAAAAAUAUAGUGCCAAUGUCCUUGAAUGUAUGUGAGUUGAUUUUCUGAAAACUCGCAUUUCCCUUCUUAGCUAUCGGCUAUUGCCUAUCAACUACUGGAGGUGUCUUUCCGGGUGAUAGUCCUUCUUAGAUCACUGCUUCCCUUUCUUACUUGUUCUGUAGGCUUGGGAAGGAAGGACAGUUUGAGAAUAUGUUCAAUAACCCAGUGCAAAUAACUACCUCUGGGAUAAAAAUACAUAUUCAUAAGGCUACUUUCUCAGUAAAAGCAACUGGGCUUGGAAGGAGGUUUGGUCUUUUCCAAUAGCUGUACUUUAAAUUCAAAUCAACUCCCAUGUAUUUAGGUAAAUUUAUUAGUGUAUUUUGAAAAGUUUGUAUCUCUCCAGGAAGUGUAUGGGCCUUUCCUUCUAAAGCUAUUACACAUAAUGAUGUGCAGAAAUAUUUUAUGUAAGAAAAAAGUUGGUCAGUUUUAAUAUGUAUAUAUAUAGAUAAAUGUUGAUAGAUGGUAGAUAUAGAUUAAAGGAAAUACUUUUUACUGAAAAUCACUUGUGAAUACAUAGUCUAUGUUUGAUGGGGAGAAAUGGAAAAGAAGAGAUGAAUGAAACACAGGUAGGAAAAAACCCUUACUUUAUGUCAACAAACCAGUAACCCACACACCUUUCAGUAAAUCUUUAUGGUCCCACAUAGAAAAUGUACCUCUUCUCCAAGUGUCUCCCCUGCUUCCCCAAUCAUAUGGGAUACAAAGCUCAGCUCCAAAUUCCCCCUCCCCACCUUUUGUCCCUAGGUCUCACUGCUAUUUGAGAAGUUAAGUGUUUGGUGGUGGUACUAACUUUUCCAGACCUUUCAAAGUUCAAGAGAGUGCACCUGAAUUGGGUGGUUUACCCUUUUCUCACACUAGCUUUUUCUUUCUUCCACCACCUUCAGGAGGCUAAAUCAAUGACCAAGCAGGCAGAAUGUUCCCAGAGUCAGGCAAGCCACCAGCAUGCAUUGCACAACCAGAGAGUAAACAAGUGGCUUUGUCAUACAGGCAGGGCAUCCAGUGUUGGCAUGGAACUCGGGCUGGUUUCCGGACAUGACUCUCUCGACAUGCCCUGUUGACUCUCAGAUUAAUUUUUAUUUCCCCAGUCUCUAGGUUCUACAGUUUGGGAGUUGGCCUGCUUAUUAAAUAGCUGCUCAUAAAAGCAGUCAUUAUGCAACUGGCUGGUCCUUUUGCUAACCCACUAUCCUAUGUCAGGUCCCAAAUGUCAGGUAGGAGAGAGGAAACAGGUGCCAUCCCAAGCUAGAUUCCGUGGGGAUGGCACCCAUCAUCUCAGUUGCUCUCUGCUUUCCUGAGACAGCCUUCUCCAUACUGUGCCUACCAAGCACGCCUCAGCUUGUGCAUAGCCAGCUGUGAGAUCUCUUUAUGCCUCCAAUAAACCUUGAGAUGGUGAUUGUUCUCAAAAGCAAUGUAAAAAAGGUUACUCAAGCAUCUAAGGUCUCAGAAACAUGCCUCUUUCAAAAUGGAGCAGUGCUGUCGAUAAUUUUGCUUAGAAGUUUUGCCUUGUCUCACGCAGAGCCUUGCUGCACGCACCAUGGUCCCCUCGGUGCAAAAUCAUGAAUGCAUUGAUUACACAUGGUCUGAGGUUCCCUUGGCCUUGCUAGCUGGCUCUUGGAGGGUCUGUGAAAAAAUACCUUCACCCAGCUACAUGGAAGACGUGUCAUAGUCAGGGAGAGAGAAAUAAAGGAUCCAAGGAUGGGAACAUCACGGCUGCCUGGAAAAAUCACUCACUAUUUACGAUAAGGGUAACCUUAGUUCCAAAAUGAGCACGAAAAGCCAAAGAUUAUUCUUCCAAUGGAUGGUAUGGCUAAACAUAUCCAACACUGCCCUGAGUAUAAAACCUGUGCUUGCCCUAUUUUGCUCUUUUUAUGGUCUUCUUUGCUAAACUGCAGGCUCUAGGAGAGAACAGCUUGUUUCUUUUCUUUACCAUUGUGUCAUCCGUGUCUCACACACACUAAGUAUUCCAUAAGCAGUAUUGUACAAUGAGGGAAGCAAAGUGGGCUAGUCAAAAUUUUAAGAGCUUUUUCAUCAUGCAAAAGAAAGAAGGUAGCACUCACGGAAUUAGAAACACUGAUUUAUUUUUCAAACGCUAUCGAAGAACUGCCAUAUAACCUUAAGCUAAGUAUCAGAAGAGAGCAAAGAAAGAAAGGAACCAUUAGAAAAAACACAAAACAUAAAACAUGAGACAAGAGACUUGUUAAGAGGGUCACUAAGGAGAAGCCAGAUCCCAGAAGAGUGUGGACACCAAGGGAAGAAAAGCAUGCCAAGAAAGAAAAAAGGUGAAAAUGUCACAGGCUGACAGGAGCUCAGGUCUUCCCUGGACCUCGAAGAGCCCCCUGAAUCAGCAGCUGCAGGAGGGGUCUUAGGGACACCAUGGGAGAGAAAAGCAGACUGCAUGUCGUUAAGUAAUGGGAGGGAGGUGAGGACAGGAAGAGAGGGAAUGUGGGUGAUAUUUAAGAGCAGUUUGACUCUAGAAAAGGAAAAGAGGACUUAUAUCUUGGAGAGGACAGAGAUUGAUGGAGUGACGCUUUCUCCCCCCUUAAGAUGGAGACACUUUUUUUUUCUUAAAAAGAAAAAAUGAGAGGAUUAAAGAUGGCGGCAUGGGAGGUGAGACAGAGGCUUCUUCCUAAAACCACAUAUAAUAUGAAAAUAUAAUUAAUAAAACUAAUCCUGAGAGAGCAACAGGAAAGAGGACUGCACCAGACUGCAUACACCUGGAGAAAAGAGCAGACCUCACAGAAAAGGGUAAUGUACCAAAGCUGUGGCCUGGAGGGAGCCAAGCCCUUCCCCCACCCCAGCUCACUGGUGGGAGGAAGAGAAAUGGAACAGGGAAGGAGUGGAGGCCUGGGACUGCUGAAUACCUAACUCUGGAGAUCUGCUCUGGGAGCACAAACCCACAUUUCAUCGUGCUUUCAUGAUACUCUUGUGAUUAGGGGAUUUGAAAGCUAAGACAGGCAGAAUUCCUGGAGAGACAGAGAUUCCAGCUGCUUGUGGAAAGCAGGGAUCCAUAUCCGGCUGCUCUGGGACAAAAGAAAGGUGGGCAGUCUGAGAGACAUCCUAACAAGGAAGCCCUUAGCAAGACGGCUGCUAAAGGGGCAAGGAUUGCAUAGAGCUUACUGCUCAAGAGAAAGGGCAGGCAGACUAAACUGUCCGGGUGCACUCUGUCCAGCAGGUUGGGAGCUUUCUCAGUCUUCAGGCACUCCAGCUCCCUGGAUGGCUACACAACUUGAAGGACCCCCUCCAUGAUACACAGCCUACUGUGCCUUUCUCCUGGCCAGCCCCACCUGACUUACAAACCGGCAAACCCUACCCUGAUGUUAGGCCAGCCAGAGGGAAGAUCUGUCUACAGCAACUACAAUCGCAAAGCAUAGAGGCUUACACCUGUGUGCUCAUCCCACUGGUUCAGGCAGUGGAGACAGGUAUAGCAGCCAGGAAGCAGAAACAGCUCUUUCCUCCCCCCAGGCACCAAUACCUCUCCCCUGUGACCCCCAACAUUGCUUCAGGUGCUGAGCAGCUCCAGAGAGUAGAGCUUCUACACUAGAGGGUGCCAUAUACAAAUAUGAAACACCAAAGGAAACUGGUCCAAAGUAAAAUUAUUAAUACAACUUCUGAGAAAGAUGACAUUGACCUCAUGAAUAUUCCUGAAAGGGAGUUCAAAAUAAAAAUCAUUAACAUGCUCAAGGAGGUAUGGAAAGACAUCCAAGAACUCAGGAAUGAAUUCCGGUCAGAGAUCCAAUCAUUGAAGAGCACAAUGGAGGGUACUAAAAGCAGAUUAGAUAUGGUGGAGGAGAUGAUAAAUGAAAUAGAAACUAGAGAAGAGGAAUACAAAGAAGCCGAGGUACAGAGAGAAAAAAGGAUCUCUAAGAAUGAAAGAAUAUUGAGAGAACUGUGUGACCAAUCCAAACGUAACGAAAUUCGCAUUAUAGGGGUACCAGAAGAAGAAGAAGAGAGAAAAGGGGAUAGAAAGUGUCUUUGAGGAGGUAAUUGCCGAAAAUUUCCCCAAUCUGGGGAAGGAGAUAGUGUCUCAGGCCAUGGAGAUCCACAGAUCUCCCAACACAAGGGACCCAAGGAAGACAAAACCAAGACAGAUAGUAAUUAAAAUGGCAAAGAUCAAGGAUAAAGACAGACUACUAAAAGCAGCCAGAGAGAGAAAUAAGAUCACAUACAAAGGAAAGACCAUCCGGCUAUCAUCAGACUUCUCAGCAGAAACCUUACAGGCCAGAAGGAAAUGGCAUGAUGUAUUUAUUAACGCAAUGAAGCAGAAGGGCCUGGAACCAAGAUUACUUUAUCUGGCAAGAUUAUCAUUUAAAUUUGAAGGAGGGGUUAAACAAUUUCCAGAUAAGCAAAAGCUGAGAGAAUUUACCUCCCACAAACCAUCUCUACAGUGUACUUUGGAGGGACUGUAAGGAUUGAAGUGUUCCUAAGGUUUAAGAGCUGUCACCAGAGGUAACAAAACCACAGUAAAGAAAGUAGAACAGCUAAUUACUAAGCAAAUGCAAAAUUAAAUUAACUAUCCCCAAAGUCAAUCAAGGGAUAGACAAAAAGUAUAGAAUAUGAUACCUAAUAUAUAAAGAAUGGAGGAGGAAGAAAGAGGAGGAGAAACAGAAAAGAACCUUUAGAUUCUGUUUGUAACAGCAUACUAAGUGAGUUAAGUUAGACUCUUAGAUAGUAAGGAAGUUAACCUUGAAUGUUUGGUAACCACGAAUCUAAAGCCUGAAAUGGCAAUAAGUACAUACCUAUCAAUAAUCACCCUAAAUGUAAAUGGACAGAAUGCACCGAUCAAAAGACAUAGAGUCACUGAAUGGAUAAAAAAACAAGACCCUGAAUGGAUAAAGAAGAUGUGGUACAUAUACACAAUGGAAUAUUAUUCAGCCAUAAGAAGAAAACAAAUCCUACCAUUUGCAACAACAUGGAUGGAGCUAGAGGGUAUUAUGCUCAGUGAAAUAAGCCAGGCAGAGAAAGACAAGUACCAGAUGAUUUCACUCAUCUGUGGAGUAUAAGAACAAAGAAAAACUGAAGGAACAAAACAGCAGCAGAAUCACAGAACCCAAGAAUGGACUAAUGGUUACCAAAGGGAAAGGGACUGGGGAGGAUG